rnacentral:rRNA from 1 species
AGAGUUUGAUCAUGGCUCAGAACGAACGCUGGCGGCGUGGAUAAGACAUGCAAGUCGAACGGGGUUUAUAUAAUUGGAGUGACAGUGGCGGACGGGUGCGUAACACGUGAGCAACCUGCCCUAAAGUGGGGGAUAGCCCUCCGAAAGGAGGAUUAAUACCGCAUGUGGUCUUCGGAUCAAAGGUGGCUUCGGCUGCCGCUUUAGGAUGGGCUCGCGGCCUAUCAGUUUGUUGGUGAGGUAACGAGUUGGCGGGGUAACGGCUCACCAAGACUACGACGGGUAGCUGGUCUGAGAGGACGAUCAGCCUCACUGGAACUGAGACACGGUCCAGACACCUACGGGUGGCAGCAGUCGAGAAUCAUUCACAAUGGGGGAAACCCUGAUGGUGCAACGCCGCGUGGAGGAUGACGGUCUUCGGAUUGUAAACUCCUGUCAUCUGGGAGUAAGCUUGCGCGUUAACUGCGUCGCAAUUUGAGAGUAUCACAAGAGGAAGAGACGGCUAACUCUGUGCCAGCAGCCGCGGUAAUACAGAGGUCUCAAGCGUUGUUCGGAAUCACUGGGCGUAAAGGGUGCGUAGGCUGUGUUGUAAGUCAGAGGUGAAAUCCCGGGGCUCAACCCCGGAACUGCCUCCGAUACUGCAAGACUAGAGUAGUGGAGGGGGGUCUGGAAUUCUCGGUGUAGCAGUGAAAUGCGUAGAUAUCGAGAGGAACACUAGUGGCGAAGGCGAGACCCUGGACAGAUCCUGACGCUGAGACACGAAGGCUAGGGUAGCGAACGGGAUUAGAUACCCCGGUAGUCCUAGCAGUAAACGGUGCACGCUUGGUGUGGGAGGAUUCGACCCCUUCCGUGCCGGAGCUAACGCGUUAAGCGUGCCGCCUGGGGAGUACGGCCGCAAGGCUAAAACUCAAAGAAAUUGACGGGGACCCGCACAAGCGGUGGAGUAUGUGGCUUAAUUCGAUGCAACGCGAAGAACCUUACCUGGGCUUGACAUGCAUCCCUAAACCAGUGAAAGGCGGCGAGUGGAGCAAUCCACAAUUCGCACAGGUGCUGCAUGGCUGUCGUCAGCUCGUGUCGUGAGAUGUUUGGUUAAGUCCAGCAACGAGCGCAACCCCUGUGUCCUGUUACCAGCGCGUUAUGGCGGGGACUCUGGACAGACUGCCCAGUUCAACUGGGAGGAAGGUGGGGAUGACGUCAAGUCAGUAUGGCCCUUACGCCUAGGGCUGCACACGUACUACAAUGCUCAGCACAAUGUGAACCGAUACCGCAAGGUGGAGGAAAUCCUUAAAACUGAGCUCAGUUCGGAUUGUGGGCUGCAACUCGCCCACAUGAAGCUGGAAUCGCUAGUAAUGGCACAUCAGCUACGGUGCCGUGAAUACGUUCCCGGGUCUUGUACACACCGCCCGUCACAUCAUGGAAGCCGGCCGCACCCGAAGUGUCCACGCCAACCGCAAGGAGGCAGGGCCCGAAGGUGUAGCUGGUAACUGGGGAUGAAGUCGUAACAAGGUAACCGUA